rnacentral:rRNA from 1 species
UACGAAGGGUGCUAGCGUUGUUCGGAAUUACUGGGCGUAAAGCGCGCGUAGGCGGCGAUACAAGUCAGAGGUGAAAUCCCACAGCUUAACUGUGGAACUGCCUUUGAAACUGUAUUGCUAGAGUGUCGGAGGGGAUGGUGGAAUUCCAAAUGUAGCGGUGAAAUGCGUAGAUAUUUGGAGGAACACCGGUGGCGAAGGCGACCAUCUGGACGACAACUGACGCUGAGGCGCGAAAGCGUGGGUAGCAAACAGG